UGGGGAAUUUUGGACAAUGGGCGAAAGCCUGAUCCAGCAAUGCCGCGUGCAGGAAGAAGGCCUUCGGGUUGUAAACUGCUUUUGUACGGAGCGAAAAGGCUCUCUCUAAUACAGGGGGCUCAUGACGGUACCGUAAGAAUAAGCACCGGCUAACUACGUG
rnacentral:rRNA from 1 species